UGUACGGCAAUCGAACCACAACUCGGUAUAUUAUAUGAAUAGUAAGGAAUUAAAUAAUUGUCCCUUGCAUCUGAAAUUAAAACCUUUAUUUGGGUUGGUAGGGAUAACAUAUUUAAAAUCACAACUUAUUAAGCAAGGACGGGCAUAAUUACAUUUCAUUAUAAAAUGUAACAAUUCAGAUAAUUGCGUUUAUCAGAUUGUAAUGCAACUGUGUACAAGACAACGUCCGUGUAAUGCCUUAUCAAAUUUGGAAUAUCAUUUUUCUCAUCUAUUGAAAUAGGCAGGACAAAUAAACAACGUUUUGAGUAAUUAAAGUAUUUACAUAUUUC
rnacentral:lncRNA from 1 species